AUCGGUGAAUACAGAGGGCGAGCUGACCCCUGUGCGGCCGCCGCCACAAUGGGCCGCGAGUUUGGGAAUCUGACGCGGAUGCGGCAUGUGAUCAGCUACAGCUUGUCACCUUUCGAGCAGCGCGCCCAUCCGCACGUCUUCACUAAAGGAAUCCCCAACGUUCUGCGCCGCUUUCGGGAGUCUUUCUUUCGCGUGGUGCCGCGUGAGUGCCCUGGGCCCGCGGGAGCGGGAGGCUGGACCCCAGCAGCAGCAGUAGUCACUGCGCCUCCCCUCUGAGCGCUGGCGGCCGGGAAGGCGCUCUGUAACUUGCCGUAUACACCGUUCUCAUUGAAUAUUCCUGACAGCCCUUAAGUUGGUCAUAUUAUCUUCCCCAUCUUACACGGGGAAAACUGAGUUACAGAACUGAAAUGACUGGCCCAAGGUCACUCGGGUGAUUCCAGCGUGUUCCUCUGAGGUCAUCUUUAUUUAGUUCUUACCAGUGGUGAAAUGCUUUGUGUUAAACGUGCAGC
rnacentral:sRNA from 1 species